rnacentral:lncRNA from 1 species
AAACACAUGAACCACAGUGGUAGUAUGAACAAAGCGCGAUCUCUCGCAACUUCCAAGCUCAACACCGCACAAAAACCCAACAAAACAAUAAAAAUAAAAAGAAACAAAACUAAAAGAACGAAAAACAAAACAAAGUAAAACAGUUGGGUUACCUCCCAACAAGUGCUUAAUUUAACGUCUAGAGCUCGACGAUACCUCAUGGUCUCAAUGAACAUCAAACGCAGCGGGCGUGAUAGACACGCCUAACACGAACAGAGACAGAGGACUCAUGUGCAUCAGCUGCGUGAAAGACGACGCUUCCAUUCGGCACAUCUAUCAUAGCUCUUCCC